CGCGAAAGGCCUGUGCCGCUGGGUCGCGCGCCGCUUCGGGUCCAAAGACGUAGGCCAGAUCGGGGUGCUCGAGCGUCAGGCGUUCGAUGCAGCCAGGACUCGCCGGCAGGGUCGGUGCGAGGGACAUACUGUGGUUUCCUUUGUGGUUGGUUGGCGUCGACGGUCGGUCGUGCGUGCGGGUUCGGCCGCCUCUCUUCUUUUUUUUUCCCCUCUGCCUUUGGUGCUCGUGUGCCUUUGUCGGCGGGGUCUCCUUUUUUUUUGUUCUCUUUUCUUUUUGGCUGAAUGUGGCGCGCGCGAGGGAUGCGGCAGAGAGUCACGGGUUC
rnacentral:lncRNA from 1 species